rnacentral:rRNA from 1 species
AUAUUUGUGAUAGAAAAAAUCAGGCAAGUAUAAGAAAUGCUUGUAUGUUGAAACGGCUGAAAAUGUUUCAGGUCAUACCUCGCCAAUCGGCCAAUUACUUCAAUUCGACUCACUGAUAUAUUCAGGAGGAAUGUUAUUCCAUUGGCAAAGUAUGGCAUCGAUUUAUUUAAAACAGCUUUUUUCGUUCAACUUCAAAGUCCCUGCAGUGUUGUGAAGCUAAGAUAUAUGCGGUGAGAACACAUAAACUAAACCCAAAAAAAUGUUCCACUUGCAGAAUGAUCAUUACUUCAUUAUUUCCUGCUACUCACAACAAAAAUGAAAUUCAAGAUGACGCUCGCGCUCGAGGACAUUCGGAACAAACAGCUCUUCGAUCGUAUACAGCCGAUUCAAGGAACGAGUUUGAAAGAAUGACGUCUUAUGUGUUUAACGUUCUGGCCGUCGCAUAUAACAGACAAAAUAGACGUGAAGAACAAGAGUCCAAAGUUAGGGACUUGCUCAUCAAAAUUGGAACUUCAAUCGAUGUAGAUGCCGCGAUGUCAGUUCUUCACCAAUUAUCUGAAGAAGAUGGCUGAAACUUAAAGAAAUCGACGGAAGGGCACAACAAGGCGUGGAGCUUGCGGCUUAAUUUGACUCAACACGGGAAAACUCACCCGGUCCGGACACCAUUAGGACUGACAGAUUGAAAGCUCUUUCUCGAUUUGGUGGUUGGUGGUGCAUGGCCGUUCUUAGUUGGUGGAGUGAUUUGUCUGGUUUAUUCCGAUAACGAGCGAGACUCUAGCCUGCUAAAUAGUGAACGAAUCUUCGGGUUCGUUGUACUUCUUAGAGGGAUAAGCGGUUUUUAGCCGCACGAGAUUGAGCGAUAACAGGUCUGUGAUGCCCUUAGAUGUCCGGGGCUGCACGCGUGCUACACUGGUGGACUCAGCGGGUCUUUCCUAUGCCGAAAGGUAUCGGUAAACCGUUGAAAUUCUUCCAUGUCCGGGAUAGGGUAUUGUAAUUAUUGCCCUUAAACGAGGAAUGCCUAGUAAGUGUGAGUCAUCAGCUCACGUUGAUUACGUCCCUGCCCUUUGUACACACCGCCCGUCGCUAUCCGGGACUGAACUGAUUCGAGAAGAGUGAGGAUUGUCGCUUUAAGGCUUCACGGCUUUUUUGUGAUGAGAAUCAUUUUAAUCGCAUUGGUUUGAACCGGGUAAAAUUCGUAACAAGGUAGCUGUAGGUGAACCUGCAGCUG